rnacentral:rRNA from 1 species
AGAGUUUGAUCCUGGCUCAGGAUGAACGCUAGCUACUGGCUUAACACAUGCAAGUCGAGGGGCAGCAUGGUCUUAGCUUGCUAAGACUGAUGGCGACCGGCGCACGGGUGAGUAACACGUAUCCAACCUGCCGUCUACUCUUGGACAGCCUUCUGAAAGGAAGAUUAAUACAAGAUGGCAUCAUGAGUCCGCAUGUUCACAUGAUUAAAGGUAUUCCGGUAGACGAUGGGGAUGCGUUCCAUUAGAUAGUAGGCGGGGUAACGGCCCACCUAGUCUUCGAUGGAUAGGGGUUCUGAGAGGAAGGUCCCCCACAUUGGAACUGAGACACGGUCCAAACUCCUACGGGAGGCAGCAGUGAGGAAUAUUGGUCAAUGGGCGAGAGCCUGAACCAGCCAAGUAGCGUGAAGGAUGACUGCCCUAUGGGUUGUAAACUUCUUUUAUAAAGGAAUAAAGUCGGGUAUGCAUACCCGUUUGCAUGUACUUUAUGAAUAAGGAUCGGCUAACUCCGUGCCAGCAGCCGCGGUAAUACGGAGGAUCCGAGCGUUAUCCGGAUUUAUUGGGUUUAAAGGGAGCGUAGAUGGAUGUUUAAGUCAGUUGUGAAAGUUUGCGGCUCAACCGUAAAAUUGCAGUUGAUACUGGAUAUCUUGAGUGCAGUUGAGGCAGGCGGAAUUCGUGGUGUAGCGGUGAAAUGCUUAGAUAUCACGAAGAACUCCGAUUGCGAAGGCAGCCUGCUAAGCUGCAACUGACAUUGAGGCUCGAAAGUGUGGGUAUCAAACAGGAUUAGAUACCCUGGUAGUCCACACGGUAAACGAUGAAUACUCGCUGUUUGCGAUAUACGGCAAGCGGCCAAGCGAAAGCGUUAAGUAUUCCACCUGGGGAGUACGCCGGCAACGGUGAAACUCAAAGGAAUUGACGGGGGCCCGCACAAGCGGAGGAACAUGUGGUUUAAUUCGAUGAUACGCGAGGAACCUUACCCGGGCUUAAAUUGCAGAUGAAUUACGGUGAAAGCCGUAAGCCGCAAGGCAUCUGUGAAGGUGCUGCAUGGUUGUCGUCAGCUCGUGCCGUGAGGUGUCGGCUUAAGUGCCAUAACGAGCGCAACCCUUGUUGUCAGUUACUAACAGGUUCUGCUGAGGACUCUGACAAGACUGCCAUCGUAAGAUGUGAGGAAGGUGGGGAUGACGUCAAAUCAGCACGGCCCUUACGUCCGGGGCUACACACGUGUUACAAUGGGGGGUACAGAGGGCCGCUACCACGCGAGUGGAUGCCAAUCCCAAAAACCUCUCUCAGUUCGGACUGGAGUCUGCAACCCGACUCCACGAAGCUGGAUUCGCUAGUAAUCGCGCAUCAGCCACGGCGCGGUGAAUACGUUCCCGGGCCUUGUACACACCGCCCGUCAAGCCAUGGGAGCCGGGGGUACCUGAAGUGCGUAACCGCGAGGAGCGCCCUAGGGUAAAACUGGUGACUGGGGCUAAGUCGUAACAAGGUA